UAUCACCUCCCCUCUCGAUCUCUUUACAUAACAAUUCGCCAACUUCCCAUCUCUCUCUCUAAAUAUUUAUUAUUUUAGGGUUCUGCCCCGUUUUAAGUAUUGUAACUCCCGAUCACCGCUACCCUUUCCGAUUGAUCUGAGUCCCAUAACGCAUGUCAGGGCUCUGCCCGACUAAGUUCGUUGGAUUCUGUCUCGGGACUUCGGGACAAGAUUGAAUUAGGGGUACUAUACUUAACACAAGUGCAUUAUAUUUUUAUAUAUAUAUACAUAUAGCUCAGAAGUUAUACUCAAAAUUUAUACCAGGAGGUUUUCUAGUUGAACCCUAACAUUACAAAGUGGGUCCAUUCUCUUUUCUCACUAUUUUAUUUCCUUUUUGUGAUUCACCCAAAACUAUUAUUUAUUUUGUAAAUAAAUUUCGUCAAAAGUCAUAUCUAUUAUUUUAUUUACCCAAUAGGAAAGCCUAGUUGAGACACCCAAGUAAUUCUGCACAAUCCCUAAAAUUUUCAGAAUAAUCAGAAUCAGGAUCAGGGCCCCUAAAACUCAAAGGGGGCAAUUCCCAUUCGAUAUUAUCUUCAAAAAUCUGUUGUCAAAAUUAAAUUUAGUCGUACAGUCGACUCAGCAAACCUACCCCUAAACGUGUCCACCCUAGGCUAGAAAAUAGACCCGUCGCGCCACGCGACGGGUGCACAUGUUCUUGUCGCGACACGCGAGAGGGACGAUUUUCCAGCUAUAAAUAGUAGGCUGUGGGACUUGAAUUUCUGCGUUGGAACGACGUUAGAAUUCAAUUCGUACGCCGAGUUAUAGUCCGUUUACUACCAAACACACACUGCACUCGAAUCGCUGCCGCAGAACAGGGUAAUCACUCGAUCGCUAUUACGAUUCAUUUUCCGAGAUCAAUAUAUCCAAAGAAUGUUUAAGUGCCGCCCACAUUGGGUGAUACUUUGUCGUUUGUCGUUAAUUCGAUAAAUGAGUUGAAGUAUUAUACUUUGUCGUUUGUCGUUAAUUCGAUAAAUGAGUUGAAGUAUUAUACUUUGUCGUUUGUCGUUAAUUCGAUGACUGAGUUGAAGUAUUGCACUUUAUCGUUCAUUGUGAGAAUUUGAUCUCGUGAGUUAUCGUAAAAGCUGUAUUGAUCAUUAACCCGGUUUUUGUGAAAUUCGUUAAGAUUCGAAUCUCAUACCGUUAAGGUUUGAUUUGGAUUUUUGCACCAAUACGUAUUCCAUUCUGUUAAACCACCAAAAACACUCCCAACUACACCCUUACAAUCAAACAAACUAUUAAACCAUCAGAAGAUCCAGAAUAAUAAAGUGCAUGCUUAAUUAUCAGGAAAAGUAGAAUCAAGAAGUUUGUUAACUCAAUCCUGCAUAAUGAUUAGUAAUUACAGUAGAUUGGAGUAAGGAGUGGAUCCGACACUGAAAGACUUCAAGAAGUGGCUUAUUUUAUUAAUUAAAUCAAAUUAAGAAAUAUUGUUUUUAUUAAAAGCUACCUUUGUAACAAUGGAGUUUAUUCCAUCUAUUUAAAUAAAAUCCGGUGUUUCUAAACUCUUAUAUUUUUCCUAACUCACGGUCCUGAUGAAAUUUCCGCUGCAAUGUUUUUCAAAAUAAUCACCGGUACCACUGGACUGCUCGCGGCUCCCGAUUCCGUCCAGGGUGGGGUCGGGGGUCGUGACAGUAAAGGUGGUAUCAGAGCUAAGCCACUACUUUAAGCCUAUAAGUGUUGUGAUAACAAUACUUAAGCUUAAAUAAAAGAGUUAGGAGAUUGCCAUUAACUUAACUGGUAGCACAUCUGAUAGCAUUUAGACUUGAACAUAAGUAAAGAUGCCUUAGUAUAAGCUAAGCCACUUGUUUACGCAAUUAGGUGUUAUAAUAAUACCUAAGUUUAAAACGGAAAAUUAGAAGCUUAAUAUUAUCUGAUAGCACUCCGGAUGAUAUUUAGACUUGAACUUAAGAAUUUUGCCUUAAAUAAACUUUUAGAUAAAUUACUUAUAUAAGUACAAUGUAAUGGAUAUUGGUAUUCCAUAAAAAUGACGAUUAACAGGUAAUAGCAUUUAAUUGCUAUUUAUUCUUGUUUAUUGAUAUUACUUGAUCUAGAAUAAAGAUAUGCUAUGAAAAUACAAAUUUCCUUUAUUCUGGAUAAAAGCCCUAAAGAGGCACUGUUAAAAUCUUGAAAAGAUAUUAUUUAUGGGAAAUAGAAAAUUUCUCCGGCAAAACUGGGUAUAGAGUAACAGACUCUCCAGCCUGUCCGGAUAUACUGAGAUUACCUCUCCGGCGCGAACCGGAUAAGACGAGGUACAUAGUAUGUCAAACAAGUGACAAGAUUUCCCUAAAUAAUAUCAUGAUUGGAUAUCUGAUUUGUUUUGGAAAUAUGAAUCUAUUAAAUACAUUGACCUGAUAAAUGGUAUGUUUAUUUCAGCAUGUGAAAUAUGUAAUUAUAUAAAUAUGUAUAUCUAUAAGGAAUUCCAAAAGUCGAUUAGGAAUAAAACACAAGCAUAUAUAGAUUUCUUUAUUAGGAAUCUCUUUUCCGAUAUCAAACAUUAUUUCGUUUGAUUAUUUGUCUCGUAGUUCGUGUGACAAAAUAAACAAUGGAAACUCUAUAAAUUGGAACACCAUCAAAAAUAUAUACCAAUGCGUUACCAUAAAUUAUUAACGCCAUAAAUAUAAACUCAAAUAAGAAGCAUGUAAGAUUUUGUUGGUGCACAAGAAAACACAUGAAACUUAAAUUAUAUGUCCACAGACGUUGAAGUUUAGCACCCACGAUUUUCCAAGGCAAGACCUUUGAAAAAUAUAAAUUGGGUACGAUGACACCAAUGUUAAAAAUUCUGUCAGUAAGAAGAACUACUAAUCAAAAAGCGGCACUUUGCCACAUGAACUUACAAACGAUCAAAAUCUCACUGGGGUACGUUGGAACAACAUUUCACAAAACAUCGGUGCAUAGUCUAACCUGAGUCAUAAUUAUUAGCACUACAAAAGAAGUCAUAUAUUUUUGCAAAUCCCCGAUUUCAUUUCACUUCAUUCGACAUUCUCUGAUAAUGUCAUUUAACAAAUAGUUAUCACACGAAAUUCCAGAUAAGAAGUUCUUAUAUUUCUUUCGUUGCAAUUCUGACUUCUGCAUAUAAAAAGUUGACUUUCGCAUUUCUGCUUCCUCUAAUAGUCAUCAUAUCAUAAGGAUUUCUUUAGCGAAUAUUGAUCUAUUUCAAUUCUUGGUAAAUCCACACGUUACGCAUGCUCUGUUUGUUGCGAGUAUGAUUCGCUUGCUUUAUGAAGACCACUGGAGGACUUCAUUCGAUUUAUCAAAACUCAAAUAUCAUUUCGCUUUUUGCACUAUGAAUCACAUUAUUGUAAAACAGUGACUCUUUGAUAUCGAGUUAAUGAAUUUUGUUAACCCAUUGAGGUAAAGAAUUUAUAUUUUAUAUAUAUAAAAAAUUUUUUUAUU
rnacentral:lncRNA from 1 species